rnacentral:rRNA from 1 species
AUGACGACUCUCGGCAACGGAUAUCUUGGCUCUUGCAUCGAUGAAGAACGCAGCGAAAUGCGAUAAGUGGUGUGAAUUGCAGAAUCCCGCGAACCAUCGAGUCUUUGAACGCAAGUUGCGCCCGAGGCCAUCAGGCUAAGGGCACGCCUGCCUGGGCGUCGUGU